GGUUCUCAGCUCAUUAGAGUUUGGCUAAAUGCAAAUUAAAACCACCAUGUGAUACCACUACUCAUCCAGCACGAUGGCUAAAAUAACAAAGAUGUAAGGACACCACCACAGACUCGCGAGACUGAGGGGUGGGUGUCGCGAGACUGAGGGGUGGGUGUCGCGAGACUGAAGAGUGGGCGGCGCAAAUGGUCGAGGUGUUUACUCGCCAUUUUGUGUGAGGAACGUUGACGCUACCCACCGCUGGCCUGGCCGCUACCCACUACUUCCCUGGCCGCUACCAACAUGAGCCUCCCGGAGAGUCCUCACAGCCCCGCUACUCUCGACCAUACCCCGGAAGACCCGCACCAGGGCCAGAGGUCCCGAGAAAAGAGCAAGGCGACACAGGUAAUGGCAGAUACGUUUGAUGGCCGCUUGGAGCCGAUCGUGUUCCCACUGCCCCGGCUUCCAGAGGAGGGGGUCGCGCCCCGGGAUCCCGCAGGUAGUGGCCAUACUUUCCACAUCUUGGUCGAUGGGGGUAAUGGAGCCAUCAAAGCGGGGCAGGAAGUAACUCCACCACCCUCGGAGGGCCUAGAAGCAGCCUCUGCCUCGCUGACAACUGACGGCAGCCUCAAAAAUGGCUUUCCGGGUGAAGAGACGCGCGGCCUAGGUGGGGAGAAGGCUCUCGAAACCUGUGGUGCAGGGAGGUCGGAGUCUGAAGUGAUUGCAGAGGUGAAGGCCGAGGACGUGAAGCCUGAGGAGUGUGCCAUGCUCUCAGCCCCAGUGGAUGAGAAGCCAGGAGGCGAAGAAAUGGACGUGGCGGAAGGAAACAGAGCAAUAGAUGAGGUAAACACAGGGGCAGGGCCUGGGCCCCUGAACGUGGGUCUCCACCUGAACUCCCUAGAGCCCAUCCAGCUGGAACUGGACUCCGUGAACGCAGAGGCUGACAGGGCCCUCCUGCAGGUGGAGCGCAGGUUUGGGCAGGUGCAUGAAUACUACCUGGAGCAGAGGAAUGACAUCAUUCGCAAUAUCCCGGGCUUCUGGGUCACUGCUUUCCGCCACCACCCACAGCUGUUUCCCAUGAUUAGAGGCCAAGAUGCCCAGAUGUUGAGCUACUUAACCAAUUUGGAAGUGAAGGAGCUCAGACACCCGAGGAGAGGCUGCAAGUUUAAGUUCUUCUUUCAAAGAAACCCUUACUUCAGAAACAAGCUGAUUGUAAAGGUAUAUGAGGUCAAAUCCUUCGGCCAAGUGGUGUCUUUUUCCACUCUAAUCAUGUGGCGCCGGGGCCAUGGACCCCAGUCCUUCAUUCAUAGGAACCGACAUGUCAUCUGCAGCUUCUUCACCUGGUUUUCAGACCACAGCCUUCCAGAGUCCGACAGGAUUGCUCAGAUUAUUAAAGAGGACCUCUGGUCAAAUCCAGUGCAGUACUACCUGUUCGGUGAAGACGCCCAUAGAGCUAGACGUCGCCCGAUAAGGGAGCCAGUGGAGAUCCCCAGGCCCUUUGAGUUUCAGUCUGGUUAACCUUUGCCUUUGGAAUUACUCCUGCAGAAGGUCCCCUGCCACCACCAGCUGGACCUGUGCUUGGGCAACAGCGUUAGGCAUUUGGGUAGGGAGUGGGGGUGCUCUACGCUGAGACUCCUUGCUCCAAGGCUGAAAAGAAGAUACUCUUUGGGCCAUGUCAAUGGCACUUGCUCUCCAGCCAGCCAAAGGAAGAAAAAGGAAUACAAAUAAAGGCUGCCAGAUUAUAAGCAAAGACUUUACCAAGAAAAAUAAAAUGGUACAAAACCUCAUUACCUCAAUAAGAACAGAGAUUCAUCUCCUCGGCCUAAAUGUCUUCUUUCUAAAAUUACUAAAGUAAAGUAUGAGAUCUGGAUUAUGUGUCAAAGGUGAAAGGGACCUUAUUUUGCAGCCUAAGCCACUGAAGCAAGAAAAACAUAGUCUGGGUCAGAAUGUUAGGUAACAGAUGCCCUAGAUAUAGGCCCCAAGUUUCCUGAUUCUUAGUUCUCUAUGUUCUCCACCCCGUUUGCCAGAGAGCCACUCAUCUCACCAGGGAGUUGCUCAUCUAAAUUGCAUCCUUUGUAAUAUGAGCCUCAGUCUUAGGAAUUCAGCUUGUCACAAGUAUGAUGAGGCAGGGAGUGCUGCAAAGACAAAGUUUUGAGGACCAAUAAAAAUGGGAAAACUAAAAGUUGGAGAAUGAGAAAGUAUUGCUAUCUUUAGGUGUGGUACAGGAGCUCUGGUUAGAGACAGCCCUUCCCAGUUAUUAGAAAAAGAAACAUCUCUAAAGUAGAGAAGAAUGAGUUCUCCAGGCUACAAAGGUCUGAUGUGCUAUUUUUUUUAGAAAAAGUGAAUUUUCUUUUUUGUUUGUCUGCUCACCAAGAAGGCUUCACCACAUAUGCAGAAUGAUUCCUACAUGAGGUCUGUUUUCUACUCUAAAGUAAUAAGCUGAUAACUAGUUUAUUCAUUAUUCCCUUCUUUGGGGAUUGUGACUUCAUUCCUCACCUAAACUUAGUUUCCAAAAAGUGCAACACUAAGAUCAUGGUGACACCCACCCCCAUCUAAGCUACAGACUCUAUGGGCAUUCUCAGUGCUACUCACCUUCAUUACAAUAAUUCCAGAUCUUUCUCAAACAUCUACUUGGUCACAUAAGAUGGUUACAGCGCUCUAACUUCAUUCUGAGAAGAAAUUCCCACCCCUAAUGACUAACUCUACUCCCCUGGACCAUGGAGUCACAAUUCCUUCUGGGUAAUGCUCUAAACUGGUGAGAAUAUGUAAAAUUUUGUUAUAAAUACUUUAAAUUUAGGGAUUACUUCUAAAGUACUUCUCAGAAGAAUUUUAAAAAUAGUGAAUAGAUUCAUAUGUAAACACAUGACAUUUGGAAAUAUUUACCAGUUUCUUCCUCCCUAUUCUACCGUGAAAAUAGCAUAUUUAGCUUCUUGGUGAGCCACAACUGAGCCCUCUAUUUAGAGUUUGUCCGCCAUACCAUCCUCUUAGGUCACCAUGGGUGGUAAAGUAAGAAUCAUAUUAAAUUUUAGUUCAGCUGUGAUGAUGCUGUGCCCUUUAUAACCUUGGUGGUUUAGACAACCCCCUGGAGUUACUUAGUCAUUAUAAGCUCAGUGUUUCUAACAGGGACAUAUGGCACAGCCUCAAAUACUCCUCUGGCUCACAUCAGAUGCUAACAAUGCUAUUUCAAGAGUGGGAAAUGGGAGGAGAAGUGGGAUGGGGCAUGCUUUUCUCCUUAACCUUUCUAGGAGGCAGUUCUUGAGAUUAUUAGCUUCAUUCUAGACUAGAAAAUACAUGGGCAGUAGCGGGAGGCUCUAGGUUGAUGACUUCAUCAGUUCCAUUUCUGUUUUUAAGCUGGCUAAGUUUGUUUGAAGCUAGCUAAAAGAACAAGACAGAGGCCAUUCUUGGCCUCUUUAUAAGCAGUGAAAUAUCACAGUGUGGCCUCUUUCCUUUCAGGCAGGAUCCCUUUGAGACAUUCCUGGAAAAGCAGAACAGUCCAUGACCAUCAGGAAGGCAUGCUGACUUCAGGCAAUCUGGCAAAAUACUGUGGGUGCCAGUGAGGUAAAAACAUUAUUAGCAGAGUCAAGACUUUCUCUCAUCAAGUAGCUCUGACCUACACUGUGGAUUCCUUUUGAGCAGCUAUGAUGAAUACACAUUGUGUGGGUCUAGGUAUUAUAGGUGGAUUUAUGAUUUAUUUAGGGAAAGAAAUUUA